CAUCUUUGGUUGAAUAAUUCAAAGUUACCGCAGCCCGUUUAGUUCUCUCGUUAGAGAUUCGAAGGAUGAAAAGAUCCGGAAAGCAGGGAUAGAAAUAAAAACUGGAAGGCAGUGGUCAGCCAGUGCUGCAGUCCACCAGGCAGAAAGCAGGCUGAAGCAUGCUGACAUAGUUGGCACAGUAGUAGAGGAGAGACAAGGGCUAUGAAGCAGUCACAGAGAAAGCUGGAUGAAAAGCAACAACACGGAGAAACGUGGAAUGGUACAGGCAGAGAUCCACCAAAUGGAAGAAGAACUAAGAAAGGCAAAAGCAACAGAAAUGGGAAGCCAAGGUGCAUGGACGAGAUGGACAACAACAGAGGGGAAGCUGAAUUGUGGAGAUAUCUGGGGGACGGAACCACACCGUAUCCAGUUCCUCUUAAGAUCAGUGUAUGGUCUGCUGCCAUCGCCAACCAACAUACACAAGGCAGGUACAGAUGGAGACAUGGCCAAUUACUCAGAGAGCUAGCUGACAUCAUAGAGACGGAACGGAAGAAGAGAGGACAGAAGGGAGAUGUCCGUAAAUACAUCAACGUUGUGAAGGAAGGCGACCCAACAAUAAUCAAGAAACCCUCGGAACAGAAGUCUAUUUUGGAUUCAGCAACAUCAUGGGAGAUGCAGGCAGAUCUCGGACGACGGCUGCUAUUUCCAGACGUUCUCAACACCACUCUCCGCCCUGACAUCGUAUGUUUGUCCCACGAAGGCAAACAGAUAAUGAUGGUGGAGCUUACGGUCCAGUGGGAAGAGAGAUGCGAGGAGGCCUACCGAUCUGGCAGAUGACAUCCGCAGCGAAGGAU
rnacentral:sRNA from 1 species